rnacentral:rRNA from 1 species
GUGCAGCAGGCGCGAAACCUUUGCAAUGCGCGAAAGCGUGACAAGGUGACUCCGAGUGCUCAUGCGUAAGCAUGAGCUUUUCCCGAGUGUAAACAGCUCGGGGAAUAAGGGCCGGGCAAUACCCGUGCCAGCCGCCGCGGUAAUACGGGAGGCCCGAGUGGUGCCCGCGAUUACUGGGCUUAAAGCGUCCGUAGCCGGUCCGGUAAGUCCUUGGUGAAAGCCCCAGGCUUAACCUGGGGAGGUGCCAAGGAUACUGCCGGUCUAGGGAGCGGGAGAGGCGAGGGGUACUCCGGGGGUAGCGGUGAAAUGCGUUGAUCCUCGGGGGACCACCGGUAGCGAAGGCGCCUCGCUGGAACGCGUCCGACGGUGAGGGACGAAGGCCAGGGGAGCGACCCGGAUUA